rnacentral:lncRNA from 1 species
UCCCUCCUUUGUCCUAUUUUUCUGGCCUAUGAUUAAUAGGAGGACAGUCUUUCAAGACGAAGAUUUCUGCUGGGGUCUGGGAGGGGAGGGGAAAGUCUAGGGCCUGAGAGCAGAGGGAAAAUGAGAGCAGAGGGUCAGGGAAAACGCCUUGGCCGGAGAGGUUGGUUUUCUGCUCAGGGCUCCCUGGGAAGCAAGACGAGGAGGAGGCGGGAUCCAGCCUUGGUUGAGAGGACUGUCAGCUUCUUUCUCCUAGAUUGGAGUGAACUCUACUGCUGGGCUGAGCUGCAUUCACCGCCCCACCUGUAUUCUUUAACGCUCACCCAGUUCCCAAGUCAAGGGUCCUGAAACAGACCGGGCAAAAGCCACAGGAGCAGUGUUCUUUGGGGAGUCUGAGGCGCCGCUGCAGCCAUUUCCUACGAAAUCCACAUCAGAUCAGCUUCAGGAUGUGGUAACCAAAGUCUUUGCCCUGAAGGAGCUAAAGACAAUAAAUAACUGAAUUCAUCCUUUGGCUCAGGUCUUCCUGUGGCUGCAUAAGACACCUCCUGCGACACGUUUUCCCUCUGGUGUCACAGAUCCCCGUCCGUUCAGUAGCCAGCUCGGGUCACAUCCAUCAUUGGCUAUUUGCUCCAUCUCUGUCUCUGCAUUCUUCCUUUCUUCAGAUCCUGAGACAAAACCCAACAUUGUGCUAAAGCAGCUUUUAUUUUGACAGCUUUAGUAUUUCAUCAUUGUGCCUUUUUUUCAAAGAAAAAAUGUCCUCCUACGCCCUUAGCUGAAAAUGACUUUCUCAUUAAGCAAGAGAUUUUGCCUCUUCUUACAUAACAAAUGUGUACACAACCCACCUGCUUCUGCAUUACUUUCCAUCUGUUCUUCAAGACAAGCCCUAUUCCAUAUAAAAAAUGCCUUUGUUUUUAUGGAGAUCGUGUCUUCAUGUAAGUGGAACUUUUAAUCAACUUGGAUUAUUGAUUUAGACAACAAAAAUGUUUCAGAAACUUCAUGACAAUUGAUUUACAAAAUAUCCUGAUAUGAAAAGCCAAUUAUUCUGUCUUAUUUAUACCAAAAUAGUGUGAUGGACAAUGAGCAAUUCAGAUUCUUAAAUAAUC